rnacentral:lncRNA from 1 species
AUACACACUGGCGAACAACUUAAACAACUAGCAAGCAAAGUAGAUGCCUUGGCUACCCAUAACAAAAUGCUGGAAACGCAAAUAUCUCAAGUAGCUCAACAACAAGCACCUACCGCUGCACCAACUGGUACAUUCCCUGGACAGCCCCAACCCAAUCCGAGAAGCCAAGCUCAUGCAAUUAUAUUGAGAAGUGGAACGGAAGUGGAAGGACCAUCUGACCCAAGGAUAGAAAACCAAAACCCUGAGAAAUCCACUGAGGAAAGUGAACCUAAGGAAAAGGAAGAGAGUAAUAAGGAAACCCUAGAAAAGAAGG